rnacentral:rRNA from 1 species
GACGAACGCUGGCGGCGUGCUUAACACAUGCAAGUCGAACGGAAAGGCCCUGCUUUUGUGGGGUGCUCGAGUGGCGAACGGGUGAGUAACACGUGAGUAACCUGCCCUUGACUUUGGGAUAACUUCAGGAAACUGGGGCUAAUACCGGAUAGGAGCUCCUGCUGCAUGGUGGGGGUUGGAAAGUUUCGGCGGUUGGGGAUGGACUCGCGGCUUAUCAGCUUGUUGGUGGGGUAGUGGCUUACCAAGGCUUUGACGGGUAGCCGGCCUGAGAGGGUGACCGGCCACAUUGGGACUGAGAUACGGCCCAGACUCCUACGGGGGGCAGCAGUGGGGAAUAUUGCACAAUGGGCGGAAGCCUGAUGCAGCAACGCCGCGUGCGGGAUGACGGCCUUCGGGUUGUAAACCGCUUUCGCCUGUGACGAAGCGUGAGUGACGGUAAUGGGUAAAGAAGCACCGGCUGACUACGUG